GUCCUUUUGAUUUUAAUUUAAGGUCUAACCUGCCCACUGAAAUUUUUGAAGGGCCGCAGUAAUUUGACUGUGCAAAGGUAGCAUAAUCACUAGUUUUUUAAUUGAAAGCUUGUAUGAAGGGUUGGACGAGGUAAAUUCUGUCUCUAUUUAAUUUUAUAUAGAAUUUAAUUUUUAAGUUAAAAAGCUUAAAUAUAUUUAAAAGACGAGAAGACCCUAUAGAUCUUUAUAUUAAAAAUAUUAAUUUUAAUUAAGAAUAUUUAAUUUUUUAGUAUUUAUAAUGUUUUAUUGGGGUAAUAAAAAGAUUAAAAUAAUUCUUUUUUUAUUUUAACAUUAAUUUAUGAUUAUAUGAUCCAAUUUUAUUGAUUAAAAGAUUAAGUUACCUUAGGGAUAACAGCGUAAUUUUUUUAGAGAGUUCAUAUCGAUAAAAAAGUUUGCGACCUCGAUGUUGGAUUAAAAAUUAUCUUAGGUGCAGAAGUUUAAGAUUUUGGUCUGUUCGACCAUUAAAUUUUU
rnacentral:rRNA from 1 species